UGUAAUGCACGCAUUAAUGGGAUGUAUUCUUCUUCGUGCUUUGAAAAUGUAUUAAUAUCUGGUUCUGGCUAUACUAUAGUACCUCCACUUUCUGCAGGACUGACAACGUGAAGAGCAUUUCCAACCUGUCCUAUUCCAGGCUGUAAUUAAAAAAUGCAUAAAAAUUCACUACCAAAAGUGCAUUAAAGAAUUGUGCAAUAAUAGCAAUAUAAAAAUAUAAUCAAUACUAGAACGAGCAUAUAAAAGACAUAUUCUAUUACUUUGUUCAAUGAAGCAAUGAACAAGUCAAGAAAACAUUAAAUUAUUAUAUACACAUAUGUAUACGUACCAUGCGAUAAAUUCUGGGAAGAUUCAUCCAUGAUUCUCUUGCAUCAGCCAAAGCAUGG